rnacentral:rRNA from 1 species
CGGCACGGGUGAGUAACGCGUAUGCAACUUGCCUAUCAGAGGGGGAUAACCCGGCGAAAGUCGGACUAAUACCGCAUGAAGCAGGGGCCCCGCAUGGGGAUAUUUGCUAAAGAUUCAUCGCUGAUAGAUAGGCAUGCGUUCCAUUAGGCAGUUGGCGGGGUAACGGCCCACCAAACCGACGAUGGAUAGGGGUUCUGAGAGGAAGGUCCCCCACAUUGGUACUGAGACACGGACCAA